UUUCCUUUUCCCCCCGCAUGUCGCACCCCCUUUCCUCAACCGACCCGUGCCCUAAGGUGUCGACGCUGCCCACCGACACGUCGCCGCCGCCUUUCCCCGCCGGUUCUCCUCCUGCGGUAUAAAAGCUGUGGCUGAGGGUUUUUGCAACCCUUCCUUCUCUUCCCCUUCUUGUGCUGAGCCCUAGAGUUUUGCCGUCGGCGAGACUUUUGAGCCACCAUCGACAAUUAUUUCCUUCUCCUCUUCCUCCAUCUCGAGUGACCUAGCCGACUUCUUCCUUCCCGACGCCUUCUCUGCCCAAAGCCGAACGCCUCUUCCAUCUGCUGAUAUCCGGUUCUUCUUUGAUCAACGACGUCGUCGGCUAUCGUCGGAGCUGCGAAGCCCUUCUAUCGCGGAGAUCAUGCCCUAGCCUCUUUGCAAUGGUUUGGCAGCACAACGACCACCUUCUGUGCCCUAGCCGCAGUCACCAUGCUUUAGAUCGCCAGGGAUCGGAAACAUGUGUUGAUGACAAGGCUGAUCUUUAUAGGGUUUGUUGGUGUCUGGAAUUGUUGAUUCUGCCUUGAUCCGACACUGUGGCAGGAAGGUCUCUUUUCACGGCAGAUCGACACACCUAUAUUGGUUAGGUUUGGAUGGUUUGAUCACGGUGAAGGUGACAGCAAGAGACUAGAAGGUGGUUGCUUGAUUAGUGACUUCUUGCUUGAUUCGGUUGAUAUCGGUGAGGAAAGAUUUCAGCAAGAUUUUGUGUUGUGGGUUGCUCUUUGAUCCAGCAGCACCUUGGAUUCGACAGGACCUCCUUCAGGCAGUACACGUUUUGGCUGAGCUUGAGGACUUUGACGCGAGACGAAUAUCUCGACGUCGUAUUUGGACCGGAUUGGACUUUUCGAU